AACGUCUUUAAUACAGUGUCAGCAGAUAAAUAGGUGUGUAUUUUUAAAAGUAAUAUUCAAAGGUCAGGUUCCAGGAAUGUAAGGAUGGUUUAACAUGAAAAAAUCUAUUAAUAUAGUAUGCUCUUUUAAUAGAUCAAAUGAUGAAAAAUCAUAUGAUUGUCUUUAUACAUCAAAAGAUAAUAUUUAACACAUAUGCAAGGCUAACAAGUCUUAUUAAAAUAGAUGGAAAGAUGCCUUGUAGUAAGAUAUGAGAUAAAAACCACAAUACAUUCAUGUUAUAUAUAUAUGUCUGUCACAUGUGUGCAUACAUCAUACUCCACAUCUCUAAGUCACAUAUGUCUUAUCACUGCAUUGAAACAAUAGCCAAUGUCAUGUUCGAUGGUGCAAUAUGUGAAUAGAGGACUUUUCUCAACAGCAUCUAACAUUGUUCUGGAAAUCCUGUAGUCACAGCUACUGGGGAGGCUGAGGAGGGAGGAUUUCUUGCACCCAGGUGUUUGAGGCAAGCCUGGGCAACAUAGUGAGAUGCCCCAUCCCCAUGUGGAGCUCAGUUUCUAGAGGGGAAGACAGAUGAAGCAAAUCAGCAGACGUAAGUGCUUGAGGCACUGUAGAUGUAGGUGAAGAAUAUUGAGAGCUGGUGGGAAGGGACACGCUCUCUGAAGGGGAAGCAGAGGGAGGACCUUUGGGAAGUGGGUAUGGAUCCCUAGGGGAAGAGAGCUCUAGGCAAGGGAACAAGUGGUGCAAAGACCAUGAGCUAGGGUCAUGCCUGACGUGCUUCAGGAACAGCAGUAGGGCCCAUAAGGCUGGACCAGAUCUGCGGAGACAGACAGGAACACGUGCAGCAAACUGAGGAGGAGCCCACAUAGAGGUUCAUCCCGCUAGUCCAGGCUGUGGUUAAGAUUGCGGUUUCUUCCUGAUGUGAUCCCUUGGAUCCUGACGGGGAUAUGAGAUGUAUUUGUUCACACCACGGGCUGCUGAGCUGGCCUUGCACCUCCACAUCCCUGGACAGGCUUG
rnacentral:lncRNA from 1 species